UGCGGAGGGGGCAAGCGUUGUUCGGAAUUAUUGGGCGUAAAGCGUAUGUAGGCGGCUAAGCAAGUCAGGCGUGCAAGCCCGUGGCUCAACCACGGAAUUGCGUUUGAAACUGCUUAGCUUGAGUACAGGAGAGGAAAGCGGAAUUCCCAGUGUAGCGGUGAAAUGCAUUGAUAUUGGGAAGAACAUCUGUGGCGAAGGCGGCUUUCUGGACCGUGAUCGACGCUGAGGAGCGAAAGCUAGGGGAGCAAACAGG
rnacentral:rRNA from 1 species